AACACUGCAGGGAUAUAGUCGGGAAUCGGUGAAGAUUGGGAAUGUUCUGCAUCGUUUUCUCAGGACCCUGCAGGGGUCAAUUCUCCAUUCAAACGGGUAUUUUCAAAGAAAUUCCAGUCGAUCAGUAGCGAUCCUGCUGUUUGGCAAUAAUAAUUUGGUUCAAUGUUUAUGUUUUGUUUUCGUAGAGUUUGACAGCUACGUAGAGAAGAAAUAAGCCGCGAAGUCGAAAAGAACGUUUGCUAUAAAUCGUCAAGAUUAUGGCAAACGGGGGACUCACUGGUUUCUUCGAGAAACCGUCUGGGUCACAGAUUCAAAACAGAUGUAAUUCCAUUUCUUCCCGAGAGGAAGAUUAUAUGGGACAGUCUUCAGAGUCAGAUUAGAAGAAGUUAGGAAGUAAUAGAUGUCGAUAAGGUAGUUCUUUGGCCUCAUCGACCUGCCAGAAGACGGUUACAGUCUUCUAGCGUGAGCCAUCCUUGAAGAAAGUCGAUAUCUUCUGGAUAACCCCUAGGAUAAUUGAGACAGCAUUAGAAUUAAGAAUGUAUGAAUGAUCAAGAAUAAGCGUUGAGUGAAUGAAGUAAGAAGGGUACCCGAUUGAAAGAGCGGAUAAAUGAGAGUGUGAAUGAAAUUAGAUACCUCGGUAGAUUGAAGAGAAAAGCUAUUUGAUCUGAAACUAAUUUAAUAAAACCAACAGCAAAAUUGAAUACAAAAAAAAAAUAAAAAAAUAAGUAAAUAAAAUAAAAAGAUUAUACUGCGAGCCACUACCAGCAGAUAUCUUAUAACGUUAGUAUUUUACGGGAUUAAUUUAAACCAUAAAUGGAUCCGGAGAAUUGUACCCAAAUCGAAUAAAACGGUUAUGUAAACCAAGAUAAUAAAAAAAAAAUACCUUCAUAAAAGUUAUUUUUUUUAAAUGGGAGGUGCGAUGAUUGUUACCAAAGGCUUGGGAACAAGUGGGUUGCUCAAGGCAGGGUGUUCAAGAUUUUGUAGGGAUAGGAAUAGCGUAGGUCUUGACAAGGACAAUAGAUUAUUAAAUUAAAAUAGGUACAAAAGAUAUAAUUAUGGCACAAUUACAAAUUGUAAAACUAUCCUAACAUAAAACAGAAAUCUUCUAAACAAUUACUGGUCUAAAUUAGUUUAAAUUUCGAUAAGUAUAUAAAACAGACGCAUAAGAUAUCUCAGUGUAUAUAAACUGCUAUAAAAAUCGGACCUCAACACUAACCCCUCGACGUUACGUCAACUAUUAGUCGGGACGGUUGUCAACACUGAGUCCCGGAAGAAGCAAAGGAGGAGAGAGGGAUGAAGAGGAGGAAGGGAGAGAGGAGAAGGAGUGAUGUGAGCUGAGAUCGAAGAAAGGGGGAGAGUAGUUACGACCUUAGAACCGAGCGGACGCAUUUUUCAAAGGACGGUUCACGAAACGACGGGAGUGACUAAAAGUCGAAUACGAUCAAAAAAAGUGUUCGUGAUACGGUUCACGUCAGAAUCGGAGGGGUUUUCCCGAUACGCCGAAGUCAUCAGCAAGGCCCCUAGUGUCCGGAGGGAACUGGUUCUUAGAGGGCCUCCUCCGAGCGCGUGGACUCAGCAACGCUAUCCUGGUUACUAAGAUCGAACUGGAAGAUUGGACCAGCCCGUUUCGAUCGGAUACGGCUCAGCGAAUCCCGGAGAAUCCUCUUCGUGCACGUGGACGGGCUGAAUCGGACCAUUGCGACUUCCUUAACCGGAAAACCAUCCCAGGUCGCCGGGCAGGAAAGCGACCGUUAUUCUGGAUUCUGGCGAGUCCCUUGCUGGUGGUUGUUCGUGCGUUUCGCCAUUGCACCGCCACACGCCACGGGCAGAAGUGACCAAAGUCUUUGAGGUGAGGGUUUAGCUUGCUAGACCCAAAAUCCGAUGCGUCACGUCGCCGUGAGCGAGCAAGCGGAACGUCGGAAAUACCAUCCUGCACCAAUCAACCCACCCCAAGAACAUCUCCACGUGCUAAUCCUGGUUCACGGGAAACCAACCCCGGUCGCCCUAGUACCGGCAGUGAAUCCGUAAGACAGGAAAGCGAGCGUUAUUCUGGAUUCUGGCGAGUCCCUUGCUGGUGGUUGUUCGUGCGUUUCGCCAUUGCACCGCCACACGCCACGGGCAGAGGUGACCAAAGUCUUUGAGGUGAGGGUAUAGCUUGCUAGACCCAAAAUCCGAUGCGUCACGUCGCCGUGAGCGAGCAAGUGGAACGUCGGAUAAACCCUCUAGCGCCAACAAGACCACACCAAAAACUUCCCCAAGUGCUGGACCUGGAUCGGACGAGAGGAACGAUUCGGCGAGUUCCGGGCUGGUGGACCCUGAGCGUCACGCCAUUGCCAGCCCACACGCCACGAGCUGCACCGGCCGUAGUCUUUGAGGUGAGGGUCUAGCCAGCUAGAACCCAAUAUCCGAUGAGCCUCUGCGCCGUGAGCGAGCCCGGGAACGUCGAGUCCCAGCAUAACCCCAGAAGUACCCGUUGGAGAUCUGCUGUGUACCACCUCCGCCUCCAAUAGCCUACGACCGUGUCACCAAGCGAAGUAGCCAGCUCCACCACAAAGCCAGCCAACACGACCCACCUCUCUCUCUCCAUAGCCAGCAUGCGUCACCAUGGGACCCACCAAGAACAGAACGGCCACAACGAUUAUUCCCCCCUUAAACGAAUGUAAGUCAAAAGAAAUACAUGUAUAAGCUAAA